GGUUGCAUUGACCGAAAUUCAAAUUACUAAAAAUUGAUCUUUUGUAUUGAGAAUAAUUAUUAUGAAAUUGAAAAACAAUUCAUAUGAAUGAUCAAAAUCGAAGCCACAAAAAUUAGUCUGACCGAAUAUAAAUUCUAUAUCGGCAAGAAGAUUUUGCAUGAUAGAUUUUUAAAGAUUUCUGUUCGAUAACGAUAUAAUGUACAUUAUUAAUAUCAUUAAUGAUGAUAUCAUAAGGUCGUGGUAAGAUCACCGGAGAGUGACCAGUCGGUGAGGGUUGUGGCGUCAUUAAUGGCCUGGUGGAGCCGUUUGACUUGUGAAGUCAAAGUGCCGUCAUUUACCCACUCUGGGAAGUAACCGCAUGUUUGUGCGCGGCAGCGUGGGGCGCAACCUCGUUCUGUGGAGGGCCCUUGGGGCAGGGGAAUUGCUGCCAUGGCCACUUGAGGAGCAACGGCAUCAAGAUGACUGUGUUCUCCAGGACUCUUGAUUGAUAUGCUUGCGGCACUGCAUCGAUAAAUAUAUAUGCCGUCUGUGGUCAGGUGGCGUUGGGCUUGAAGUUGUUCGAGGAAAUGCGGCGCUUCAUUGAUAAAAAUGUGCGCCAUGUGUGGUCGAGUGAGAGUUGGGCUUGAAGGUGUUCGAGGCACCUUAACAUUUAUGCCGUGUGGUCAGGUGGGGUUGGCCUUGAAGGUGUUCGAGGAAAUGUGGCACCUCAAUGAUAUAUAUAUGUAUGUCGUGUGUGGUCAGGUGGGGUUGGACUUGAAGUCGUUCGAGGAAAUGCAGCACUUCAUUUAUACAUGUGUCUGUCGCGUGUGUGGUCAGGCGGAGUUGGGCUUCAAGUUGUUUGAAGAAAUGCAGCACUUCAUUUGUUUGAGGAAAUGCAGCUAAGACUGCCAUGACCUAGGAGGAUCGAACCAUUUGACUCAAAUUACUAACCCAAGAUAAAGGUAGUUUGUUGGCGAGCGGAAGCAGAUAUGGUGUCCUGGCAUGUCCAUGAUUUUUGUGCAAUUUCUCAGUGAUGAAGACCAGGUAACAUGCCUCUCCUUGUGCAUUAAACAAAGGGACUAGGUUUCAGUCAUAAGUGGGACUAAUGGAUGUGCACGAGUACCUUUUAGCAGCAUGUCUCUUAUCCUGGUGGAAGAAAGUUGGCAGCAGAUGAGGGAAUUCUACAUGCAAAGUUAUGGUUUUUGAACAAAGUAAAUAUUUCUAGUUUUUCUACCAAAAAAAAAAAGAGUAAUGAGAUCUGGUUUCAGUUCUUAGCAGUUGAUACUUUUUCUUGAAGGACAGGAUAGCAAUAUACUGAAUAUAUUGGAAAGUGGAGCGUGGUGAAAGCAAUUUGCCGAUUGCAAAAUAGAGAAACCACAUUGAACAGAUGAAGAGAGAGCUCUUUGGAUCUAUCAUGUGAACAUGACAAAGAGAGCAUGUCAAGACUGACUUCUUACUUACUCGCCAGAAGGAACUGAAGUUAGCAGGUUCAUCAAAUGUAUUAGAAACAUCGAAAAUGGAUCUCUGUAUCUGUAAGGAAAAGCCACAUUAGAAACACAUGGUUGAUAUCCUCUCUGCUCAGGGAGCAAAACCUACAAUCAUCUGGGCUAUGUAAGAAGACCGGUAUGCUGAUUUGCUGGUGUGGGACAGAGGGUUCGAUUAGAGUAAUAGCUUAUGAUACCCAAGAAGCAUUUAGGAUGCGUUUAAUUUCAUCUUUGUUUUCCAAUUUAUUCUCCAUAAAAAAUAUAAAAAUGUGUAAUAUUUCAAAUUUCAGAGUUGUCCCUCCUCUAUUUGUCCAACUAACAUGUGAAUUUAUGCUUA